AAUUCACAAAAUAAUUUAUUUUUAAUAAUUUGUCAUUUUUGAAAAUUUCCUGUUGUAGAGAAGACUAUUCCCCAAGAAGAAUGAGUGUCUGCAAUUAUUUAAAGCCAUUUCUGUUCCAAAUGUGGUAGUACUCAGAAUAGAGUUUGCAUGAGACCUGAGGCCCAUCACAGAGAAACUCCCACUAACCUAUCAGUGAUGAGGAGGUAAAGUGGCUCCUCUGGAGGACACAAAUUCUACCAAAGCCAGCAAAAUUGCCAUCAGGAAGGUGCAGCCUUACAGCUAGUUACUCCGGUCACUAGGGAUGUGACUUUCUGUGGACACAAGACCCCUGACACCAGUAUCCUAAGAGAUAGGUGUGUAAGGAAGAUUCUCUUCUCCCUUGUUGCAGGAUGACACAGCAGAACUUCUCAGUCAGCACCUAU
rnacentral:lncRNA from 1 species